rnacentral:rRNA from 1 species
GACGAACGCUGGCGGCGUGCCUAAUGCAUGCAAGUCGCACGCAGCACCUUCGGGUGCUGAGUGGCGCACGGCUGAGGAUCACGUGGGAACAUGCCUCCUUGUGGGGGACAACACCGACGAAAGCGGUGCUAAUCCCGCAUACGCUCGUGCAAGCGAGGAAAGCGGCAACGCGCAGGGAGAGUGGCCCGCGGCCCAUCAGGUCGUCGGUGGGGAAUGGCCUACCGAGCCAAUGACGGGUAGCUGGUCUGUGAGGACAGACAGCCAGACUGGGACUGAGACACGGCCCAGACUCCGUACGGGAGCAGCAGCAAGGAAUUUUCGUCAAUGGGCGCAAGCCUGAACGAGCAACGCCGCGUGGAGGAUGACGG